rnacentral:rRNA from 1 species
CACGUAGGGGGCGAGCGUUGUCCGGAUUUAUUGGGCGUAAAGAGCUCGUAGGCGGUUUCGUAAGUCGGAUGUGAAAUCCCCAGGCUUAACCUGGGAACUGCACCCGAUACUGGAUGGCUUGAAUCCGGGAGAGGGAUGCAGAAUUCCAGGUGUAGCGGUGAAAUGCGUAGAUAUCUGGAGGAAUACCGGUGGCGAAGGCGGCAUCCUGGACCGGCAUUGACGCUGAUGAGCGAAAGCUAGGGGAGCAAACGGG